GACGAACGCUGGCGGCGUGCUUAACACAUGCAAGUCGAACGGAAAGGCCCUGCUUUUGUGGGGUGCUCGAGUGGCGAACGGGUGAGUAACACGUGAGUAAACUGCCCUUUACUUUGGGAUAACUUCAGGAAACUGGGGCUAAUACCGGAUAGGAGCUUCUGAUGCCUGGUGGGGGUUGGAAAGUUUCGGCGGUUGGGGAUGGACUGGCGGCUUAUCAGCUUGUUGGGGGGGUAGUGGCUUACCAAGGGUUUGACGGGUAGCCGGCCUGAGAGGGUGACCGGCCACAAUGGUACUGCGAUACGGCCCAGACUCCUACGGUAGGCAGCAGUGGGGAAUAUGACGCAAUGGGCGGGAGCCAGAGGCAGCAACUCCGCGUGCGGGAUGACGGCCUUCGAGUUGUAAACCGCUUUCGCCUGUGACAAGGCGUGAUUGACGGUAAUGGGUAAAGAAGCACCGGCUAACUACGUG
rnacentral:rRNA from 1 species